AGAUUUUUGCCUAUCCGAAGCAGCUUUCAAGCAGUCUCGAAUCACUUUCAGUUUUUUUUUCAGUUUCCUUGAUUAAAUCAACUUCGUAAAUCUGGUUUUCUUUGAGUUCAGUCCAAUACAGUGGUGUCCGGUACUUGCGACCAUACAAUGCUUCAUAAGGUGCCAUUUUCAAACUCGUCUGAUAACUGUUAUUGUAGGCAAAUUCC
rnacentral:lncRNA from 1 species